rnacentral:rRNA from 1 species
GUGGGGAAUUUUGGACAAUGGGCGCAAGCCUGAUCCAGCAAUGCCGCGUGCAGGAAGAAGGCCUUCGGGUUGUAAACUGCUUUUGUACGGAACGAAACGGUCCGGGUUAAUACCCUGGGCUAAUGACGGUACCGUAAGAAUAAGCACCGGCUAACUACGUGCCAGCAGCCGCGGUAAUACGUAGGGUGCAAGCGUUAAUCGGAAUUACUGGGCGUAAAGCGUGCGCAGGCGGUUUUGUAAGACAGGCGUGAAAGCCCCGGGCUCAACCUGGGAAUUGCGCUUGUGACUGCAAGGCUGGAGUGCGGCAGAGGGGGAUGGAAUUCCGCGUGUAGCAGUGAAAUGCGUAGAUAUGCGGAGGAACACCGAUGGCGAAGGCAAUCCCCUGGGCCUGCACUGACGCUCAUGCACGAAAGCGUGGGGAGCAAACAGGAUUAGAUACCCCUGUAGUCC